rnacentral:rRNA from 1 species
AUGCACAACUGGUUGAUAUUCCAGUACCACCAUGUUCGCGUCCGUCCCAAUACUCUGUUGCUAAGGGGCUGUGUUGACUUCGGUCAACGCGAACCGACCCACAUUGUUGCGGGAAGCUGUAGGGGGACGCAGGAAGGUAGAUGAACCCGGUGAAUGGUAGAACCGGGGUAAGCGUGUAGGAGGAGGACCAGGUAAAUCCGGGCCUCAUAAACUCUGAGACGUGAUACCGAGCCGCUCAGGCGAAGUCAUUGAUCCUAUGCUGCCUAGAAAAGCCCAGCAGCGAGUUGACAUGGUGCCCGUACCCCAAACCAACACAGGUGGACAGGUAGAGCAUACCAAGGCGAGUGGGAUAACUAUGGUUAAGGAACUCGGCAAAUUGCCUCCGUAACUUCGGGAGAAGGAGGACCCCAGUAGCGUGAUGAUACUUGCUCUCUGAGCGUGAAGGGGUGGCACAAAAUUGAGGGAAGCGACUGUUUACCAAAAACACAGCAGCGUGCUAAGCCGUAAGGCGCUGUAUACGCUGUGACUCCUGCCCGGUGCUGGAAGGUUACGGGGAUGGGUUAGUCCUUCGGGACGAAGCUCUGAACCUAAGCCCCAGUAAACGGCGGCCGUAACUAUAACGGUCCUAAGGUAGCGAAAUUCCUUGUCGGGUAAGUUCCGACCUGCACGAAUGGAGUAACGACUUCCCUACUGUCUCAACCAUAGACCCAGCGAAAUUGAAGUACGAGUAAAGAUGCUCGUUAGCUGCAGAAGGACGGAAAGACCCCGUGGACCUUUACUAUAACUUGAUGUUGUGUUUUGUCAUAUGUUGUGUAGGAUAGGUGGGAGACUUGGAAGCAUGGACGCUAGUCUGUGUGGAGUCAUCGUUGAAAUACCACCCUGCAUAUGGUGAGGCUCUAACCUAGACCCGUUAUCCGGGUUGGGGACAGCGUCAGGCGGGUAGUUUAACUGGGGCGGUUGCCUCCUAAAGAGUAACGGAGGCGCCCAAAGGUUCCCUCAGCCUGGUUGGCAAUCAGGCGUUGAGUGCAAUGGCAAAAGGGAGCUUGACUGCGAGACCUACAAGUCGAGCAGGAGCGAGAGCUGGGCAUAGUGAUCCGGCGGUUGCGUGUGGAAGCGCCGUCGCUCAACGGAUAAAAGGUACCCCGGGGAUAACAGGCUAAUCUUGCCCAAGCGUCCAUAGCGACGGCAAGGUUUGGCACCUCGAUGUCGGCUCAUCGCAUCCUGGGGCUGAAGCAGGUCCCAAGGGUUGGGCUGUUCGCCCAUUAAAGCGGUACGCGAGCUGGGUUCAGAACGUCGUGAGACAGUUCGGUCCCUAUCCUCUGCAGCCGGAGGUGAAUUGAGGAAAGCUGUCCCUAGUACGAGAGGACCGGGACGGACGCAGCUCUCGUGUGCCAGUUGUCCUGCCAAGGGCAUGGCUGGUUAGCGACCUGCGGAAAGGAUAACCGCUGAAAGCAUCUAAGCGGGAAGCCUCUUCCAAGAUGAAUUCACCCACAGGGUUAACCUGGUAAGGCCCGUGGUAGACCACCACGUUGAUUGGCCGGAAGUGUAAGCGUGGCAACACGUUCAGCUGACCGGUACUAAUCGGCCGAGGGCUCGAA